rnacentral:snRNA from 1 species
GUGCUUGCUUUGGCAGCACAUAUACUAAAAUUGGAACAAUACAGAGAUUAGCAUGGCCCCUGCACAAGAAUGACACGCAAAUUCAUGAAGCGUUUCAUAUUUUU